rnacentral:rRNA from 1 species
GACGAACGCUGGCGGCGUGCUUAACACAUGCAAGUCGAACGGAAAGGCCCUGCUUUUGUGGGGUGCUCGAGUGGCGAACGGGUGAGUAACACGUGAGUAACCUGCCCUUGACUUUGGGAUAACUUCAGGAAACUGGGGCUAAUACCGGAUAGGAGCUCCUGCUGCAUGGUGGGGGUUGGAAAGUUUCGGCGGUUGGGGUUGGACUCGCGGCUUAUCAGCUUGUUGGUGGGGUCGUGGCUUACCAAGGCUUUGACGGGUAGCCGGCCUGAGAGGGUGACCGGCCGCAUUGGGACUGAGAUACGGCCCAGACUCCUACGGGGGGCAGCAGUGGGGAAUAUUGCACAAUGGGCGGAAGCCUGAUGCAGCAACGCCGCGUGCGGGAUGACGGCCUUCGGGUUGUAAACCGCUUUCGCCUGUGACGAAGCGUGAGUGACGGUAAUGGGUAAAGAAGCACCGGCUAACUACGUG